GUAGGUGGCAAGCGUUGUCCGGAAUUAUUGGGCGUAAAGCGCGCGCAGGCGGUCCUUUAAGUCUGAUGUGAAAGCCCAGGCUCAACCGUGGAGGGUCAUUGGAAACUGGGGGACCUGAGUACAGAAGAGGAAAGCGGAAUUCCAAGUGUAGCGGUGAAAUGCGUAGAGAUUUGGAGGAACACCAGUGGCGAAGGCGGCUUUCUGGUCUGUAACUGACGCUGAGGCGCGAAAGCGUGGGGAGCAAACAGGAUUAGAUACCCUGGUAGUCCACGCCGUAAACGAUGAGUGCUAAGUGUUAGGGGGGUUUCCCGCCCCCUAGUGCUGCAGCUAACGCAUUAAGCACUCCGCCUGGGGAGUACGGCCGCAAGGCUG
rnacentral:rRNA from 1 species